GUGGGAGGGGGGUGUAGAGCUGGAGGCUGAGGAUGUAACAGGACCACCCCUCCCCAUCCUCUCCAUCUGACUGCGCCCAGCUCCUCAUCCUCAUCCUCAUCCUGCUGCAGCCUCAUUCGCUCCUAAAAAGAUGUUACGAUCCACAAUUCUGGUUGGAAUGCCUCGCCAGCUUCCCUGGAUUCAGUUGGGUAUGCAGCAGCAGCGACAACAACAAAAGGAUGUAGGUCCGGCGUCCGCAUCCCUGCCCUUCAGCAUCCGCAGCAUCCUCAUCCCUCCGGCGUUGGGCUCCGAGGACGGGCUAUUGCGCGCUCGGUAAGCCGCUCGAAAGCGCUCGAUCGUCGGACAAAGUCUCGCCCGCGUCGGCUUGCGCAGGCAUCCUUGCGGGAAAAGGGAAAAAGAAACAAAAAAAGAAAGAAAAAUCAAUCUGCGCCAUUCGCCUCGGAAGGGCAGACUGAAGAAUGAACCAGCUCGCUAGCUCCUCCUAAGGUCUAGUCGGGUACUACGUAACAAUUUGCGGCUAGCUGGUUAGCACGCUAAUGCCUGCAGUAACAUGGUGAAUAUUUGCUUUCAAAAUGCCUUCACCCACCACUGUUUAGUCACACUUAUAACAGUUAUAAAACAACCUUGUAUUAUUUUUUAUUAUUAUUUAAUAGAAAACACGAAGAAAAUGUGUGUGCCAUUGUAUGUGUAUGUUAUUACAUUUUGUUAAAAUAAAGUGGUAAUAAAUUCACUUAUGUACUGCAGUUUUUUUUUGUAAAUUGCAGAUGUUUUCUACUGUACAACUAAUACUUGUGUCUGUAUGGUUUGUAGAGGUUUCUAAUAUUCUAUACAACUAAAUAUGGCAACCGAAAUAUUAGAAACCUGUGUGUGAUGCGGUAUAGUUGCAGAAAAGUAAACCCUCUCUGACAGCGUUAUUAUCUUUUUGUAAACGGUACUCCCACAAUGAAAUAAAGUUUUUAUUUGUG